rnacentral:rRNA from 1 species
GGCUAUUUGGAGGUAUUAUUAGUCUGGCCUGCUCACUGAUAUUUAUAUUAUUAAAGAGCCGCGGUAAUUUGACCGUGCAAAGGUAGCAUAAUCAUUAGUUCUUUAAUUGGGAACUUGUAUGAAUGGUCGGACAAGAGAAAAACUGUCUCUGGUGUCUUAAUUGAAGUUAGCUUUUAAGUGAAAAGGCUUAAAUGUCUCAGGGGGACGAUAAGACCCUAUAAAGCUUUAUAUAUUAGUAUAAUUUAAUUUAAUUGUAAAUAAAGGUUUUAUUAAGUAAGUAUAUUUAGUUGGGGCGACUAAGGUAUAAUUUUUAGUAACUGAUUAAAUAAGAAACAACGAUAUCUGAUUUGUUUGUAAUUGAUCCUUUGUAAAGAUUAAAGAUUAAGUUACUUUAGGGAUAACAGCGUAAUUUUUUCUGAGAGUUCAUAUCGAAGAAAAAGUUUGCGACCUCGAUGUUGAAUUAAAAUGUCUGUAUAGUGCAGCAGCUAUAUGAGAGAGUCUGUUCGACUUUUAAAUUUUUACAUGAUUUGAGUUCAGACCGGCGUAAGCCAGGUCGGUUUCUAUCUCUUGACUAUUAAAGAUUAUUUUAGUACGAAAGGAUUAAAUAAUUGGAAUUUUUUUAUGAGUGAAAU